rnacentral:rRNA from 1 species
CCUACGGGAGGCAGCAGUGAGGAAUAUUGGUCAAUGGCCGGAAGGCUGAACCAGCCAAGCCGCGUGAAGGACGAAGGUGCCAAGCAUUGUAAACUUCUUUUGUCAAGGGACAAAAUCAGGCUCGAGAGCCUGACCGAGGGUACUUGAAGAAAAAGCAUCGGCUAACUCCGUGCCAGCAGCCGCGGUAAUACGGAGGAUGCGAGCGUUAUCCGGAUUUAUUGGGUUUAAAGGGUGCGUAGGCGGGCUGUUAAGUCAGCGGUAAAAGCCCGGGGCUCAACCCCGGCGAGCCGUUGAAACUGGGUGUCUUGAGAUGUCGAGAGGUAUGCGGAAUGCGCAGUGUAGCGGUGAAAUGCUUAGAUAUUGCGCAGAACUCCGAUUGCGAAGGCAGCAUACUGGCGGCGAUCUGACGCUGAGGCACGAAAGCGUGGGUAUCGAACAGGAUUAGAUACCCCUGUAGUC